CAAGUCGAGCGAGGCGUCCCGCAAGGGACAGUCGAGCGGCGAACGGGUGAGUAACGCGUGGAUGACCUGCCCUUUAGUGGGGAAUAACCCGGGGAAACUCGGGCUAAUACCGCAUACGACCGAGAGGUGAAAGCGGGGUCGCAAGAUCUCGUGCUGAAGGAGGGGUCCGCGUUCGAUUAGCUAGUUGGUAGGGUAAAGGCCUACCAAGGCGACGAUCGAUAGCCGGCCUGAGAGGGUGAUCGGCCACACUGGAACUGAGACACGGUCCAGACUCCUACGGGAGGCAGCAGUGGGGAAUUUUGCGCAAUGGGCUAACGCCUGACGCAGCAACGCCGCGUGGAGGAUGAAGGUCUUUGGAUUGUAAACUCCUGUCAGCAGGGAAAAAGCGAGGGGGCCUAAUACGCUCUUGAGUUGAUUGUACCUGCAGAGGAAGCCCCGGCUAACUCUGUGCCAGCAGCCGCGGUAAUACAGAGGGGGCAAGCGUUAUUCGGAAUUAUUGGGCGUAAAGGGCGCGUAGGCGGCUUUGCAAGUGACGGGUGAAAUCCCUCGGCUUAACCGAGGAACUGCCUGUCAGACUGUGAGGCUUGAGACCGGGAGAGGUGAGUGGAAUUCCCAGUGUAGCGGUGAAAUGCGUAGAUAUUGGGAGGAACACCAGUGGCGAAGGCGGCUCACUGGACCGGAACUGACGCUGAGGCGCGAAAGCGUGGGGAGCAAACAGGAUUAGAUACCCUGGUAGUCCACGCCGUAAACGAUGAGUGCUUGGUGUAGCGGGUAUCGACCCCUGCUGUGCCGAAGUCAACACAUUAAGCACUCC
rnacentral:rRNA from 1 species